UGGGGUUUGAUAACAGAUGGAUGGAGCUGUGCUGAUUAGAUUAGUAGGUUCUGGGGUUUGAUAACAGAUGGAUGGAGCUGUGCUGGUUAGAUUAGUAGGUUCUGGGGUUUGAUAACAGAUGGAUGGAGCUGUGCUGAUUAGAUUAGUAGGUUCUGGGGUUUGAUAACAGAUGGAUGGAGCUGUGCUGGUUAGAUUAGUAGGUUCUGGGGUUUGAUAACAGAUGGAUGGUGCUGUGCUGGUUAGAUUAGUAGGUUCUGGGGUUU